ACAAGUCUGGUCAUUGCAGCUAUUGGAUAAUUGGAUGGGCAAAGUACAUAAUGCUUGGUUAUCAAUUGAGGCUGAAACACCUGAUCUCGUUGCAUCAUGAACUUUUUCCUCCAGUUCCUUUCUGCCAUUGUAACAAUUUCGUUAUUUGAAAAGGGCAAGAAGAAGGGAAAGUGAAAUGAUGAGCAAUGAGGAUAGAGAUAAGCGUUAGUCAUUUGCGAGUAGAGCCAUCUUUGUAUGAUUCCUUUAGUAGUUGUUGGAUCUACAAUGGCACUGGAAUGCCUAAGGAUAUUGUUAAAACUACAAACAUCAUCCUUAUCUUUCAUUUUGUAUUGGGAUUUUUCAUUAGAUACAAUCAGAUAUGAUCCAUUUUUAUGUGGACGAAA